GAUGAACGCUGGCGGCGUGCCUAAUACAUGCAAGUCGAGCGAACAGACGAGGAGCUUGCUCCUCUGACGUUAGCGGCGGACGGGUGAGUAACACGUGGAUAACCUACCUAUAAGACUGUGAGAACUUCGGGAAACCGGAGCUAAUACCGGAGAAUAUAUUUAACCGCAUGGUUCAAUAGUGAAAGACGGUUUUGCUGUCACUUAUAGAUGGAUCCGCGCCGCAUUAGCUAGUUGGUAAGGUAACGGCUUACCAAGGCAACGAUGCGUAGCCGACCUGAGAGGGUGAUCGGCCACACUGGAACUGAGACACGGUCCAGACUCCUACGGGAGGCAGCAGUAGGGAAUCUUCCGCAAUGGGCGAAAGCCUGACGGAGCAACGCCGCGUGAGUGAUGAAGGUCUUCGGAUCGUAAAACUCUGUUAUUAGGGAAGAACAAAUGUGUAAGUAACUAUGCACGUCUUGACGGUACCUAAUCAGAAAGCCACGGCUAACUACGUG
rnacentral:rRNA from 1 species